AUGUUUGAAGAUUCGAAACUGAAUGGUGAGGUGGCCAAGGCGGCGCUGGCAAACGAAGACUGUCCCCACAUAGACCAGGCUAUUACGCCUGAUGAGGGCCUGCCCUUUACCCGCUCUGGCACUCGGGAGAGAUAUGGACCCUGCUUCCUCUUAUCAACCGGGGAAUAUCCCUGCCCGCCUGAUGGAGGAAUAAGAAAGGGUUACGAAAUGUCACGGAGCCUUAACAGCAUAGCUGGCAUAAGUGGAAAAGCGAUAGGAUUAUCCUCAGUGUCUGCGCCCUACAGCUCUCCUAGCCCAGUGAGACGUUCUUGGUCUCCCAUCCCAUCUAUUUUGUAGCAUGGAUCAGUAGCAGAGAAUGGUCUAAAAAGCUUUAUUUCAAUUAGCCUAUGCGAUGUUGCAUAUAGUCCAGGUGACUAAGUCUGAAGAUGCAAUGUCUCACAGUAGCACCCGCUGCAAACGGUGUUACUUCUGAUGCUGAGGUGACAACACUCCUAAAUAGCACUCAGAUGACAAUAGGCAGGCAUUGGCGUAGUACUGGUGGGCCAUACGUGCUGCAUGGUAUCAGUACAUAGGAUGAAGGGUAGAUGCACCAGAUGGCUUCCUUCCUGGUGCAUCCUGCUGGCAUAUGCUUAUUGUGGCUAAUGGUGGAUCUACUGGCUCUGUGUGGAAUGGGUUAGGCGUUUAGUCGAUGCUGAAACAUGCCAACGAUGGAAGAUUUUGCUUUUCUCAGGAUAUUUUUGAGCCAUAGGAACCCUGCAGGAGUUUGAGCAAACAAGCACAGUAGGAUGAAACUUUGCAUGGGCACCUAUUUUAAGCUGAAAGCAAUACUCAGACACACUGUAGAGAGGUCUCAGUCUGGCUGACUGCAUGGGAAAAAAAAACCCUGUUGAAGAAGAAUAUGGCUGCCUCUGCAUGUAGCUAUUUCACCUUUUCCUCCUUCCUUUAACACUAAGAUGCCGAGCUUGAUGUGAAAAGCGCAGGGAAGAAGCUCAAGUACUGAUUGUAUUCUUUACAUGCAGAUCUUUGCAAAGAAAGUCCAGUCAUUGCUAAAUAUAUGCCAACAGAGGCAGUCAGAGUGACCUGACAAGGCAAGAUGGAGAUGAACAUUGAUGGCUAAUAAACAUCUCUGUGGAACUGUGCAGGCAUAGAAGACCUUCUCAUUUGGACAAAGUUAACUCGCUCCAUGCAGGUUUUAUGGAUGAUUCUUCGUGGUUCUGGAGUUGUACUAGAGAUGCAGGCUUUUUCUACGGCCAAAAUGUAACAAAACUGUAGAAGAUCUUUUUUUUUUUUAAUCUAUUUUUUUGUUCCAUAGCAUGACUUGCAUGAAGAAAAAAAUGAAAAUGAAAAAAAAAAACAAAAAAGAAAACAACAAAACACACACACAAGAAACACUGCAAAUGUAUGAUUAAGGAGAAAAAAGAAAAAAAAAAAGGCAAAGUUAUAUAUUUUCUUUCAAAGCUCUUUACUUUUACAUACAUUGUUGUAGCCAAAAUGUAAAACAUUAUAAAACUGUACAUUUCUUUGCUAUGGAUCGCUUCUUUUUGUAUACAAGAUACAGAGUAAUGGUUUUAAAAAGUGCAAUCAGGCAGUCAUCGGUCAUAUUGACCAUGCCUUCACAGUUCAUCACACCGACAUGGAAAUCAAGAACUUUUAAUCCAACUAGAAGUGUAUAAAAAUAAGAAAAACUUUUUCCUGUCUGUUUUUGUUGGCAUGCUUGUGACACAUGGGACCUUCCUUCGGACCUGACAGUAACAGCUGGUUAAUUUUCCAGCUCUGGUUAUGUUGUAUUUUAUUGAUGUAUAGAUCCAACGUAAAGACCCUUCAUAAAUUGUUCAUAUUAAGUAAUCAGUAUGAAUUUUAAACAAAAGAGGUGUUAUUUUAAAACUGGGACUUAUAGUACAAAAUCAGGAAAAUACUCAAGUAUAAAUGGUCUCAAAGUUUAAGAAACAAGACAACAGCAUUGUAUGCAAUUUAGUACUGAGUAAAAUGCAUGCACAAUGUUAUGCAAAACAAUUCUAGCAUGAAAAUAAAUUUUGUAUCAUGGUUUCAGUGCCUGCUGUAUAGUGUAAAGGGGAAUCCUUUUCUGAAGCAAUCAGGGGUUUCCAGAGACUUGCUUCUAAAAUCUUGAAUAAAUACAGUGUUCUCAACAGAAAUGUAGGAGAAAAGCUUGGUAUUGCUUUGGUUCUACAAUGCUAAUUUUGGUUAGUAGAUAAUAAAUGAAGCCUGCAAACACUUGAUACAACCGAUGUCUAAAGAAUUCACACCAUUAGUAAUUUUACAAGGGAAGAUUAAAAACCCCUAUAAUGAUCUAGGUAUCUUCCUUUUCCCUCCU
rnacentral:lncRNA from 12 species